CAUAAAUGCAUUAUCCUUUGUAGGUAUCCCAAGACUGGAAUAUUUUUGGGCUUGCUAUUUUACUUUGGACCAAGUGUUUACUUCUUUUAUCUUUCUCUCGAACACCAAUUUCCAUUUGCAUCCUAUAAUUCACUAAGAUAUACCCAUUUAACCGAAAAAUUCAUGUCAACUGUUUACGUAUCCUCUCCUUACCACCUUCCCGCCAAUUUAAUUGGAAUGUUUGCAGGUUGGACAUGCGUUAAAUUUGGGAAACAGAAACUAACGAAGAUUUGGCUUCUUGUUGGAUGGAUUGUUUCGAUAUUUUGCUUCUUCUUUGCAACAGCUUUAAUUUAUAUGCCGAUAAAAAACUUCAAGAUAAUGGCCUUCUACGACAGUUUAAGAAUCUCCGGAAUGAGUUUGGCCACAAGUUGGAUACUUUUUAUUUGUACGACUGGUCAAGGAGGUGCCUGA